GAUGAACGCUAGCGGCAGGCCUAACACAUGCAAGUCGAGGGGUAACUAGAGUGAUAGCAAUAUUACUUUGGCUAGACCGGCGCACGGGUGCGUAACGCGUAUGCAACCUACCUUAUACUGGGGAAUAACUUCGAGAAAUCGGCGCUAAUACCCCAUAACACUGCGGAGAGGCAUCUCUUUGCAGUUAAAGCUCCGGCGGUAUAAGAUGGGCAUGCGUCCAAUUAGCUAGUUGGUGAGGUAACGGCUCACCAAGGCUACGAUUGGUAGGGGUUCUGAGAGGAUGAUCCCCCACACUGGUACUGAGACACGGACCAGACUCCUACGGGAGGCAGCAGUGAGGAAUAUUGCGCAAUGGACGAAAGUCUGACGCAGCCAUGCCGCGUGCAGGAUGACGGCCCUAUGGGUUGCAAACUGCUUUUGUACGGGAAUAAACCCUUCUACGUGUAGGAGGCUGAAGGUACCGUAAGAAUAAGCACCGGCUAACUCCGUGCCAGCCGCCGCCGUAA
rnacentral:rRNA from 1 species